rnacentral:rRNA from 1 species
AUUGAACGCUGGCGGCAUGCUUUACACAUGCAAGUCGAACGGCAGCGCGGGCUUCGGCCUGGCUGCGAGUGGCGAACGGGUGAGUAAUGCAUGGGAACGUGCCCAGUAGUGGGUGAGAGCCCGGCGAAAGCCGGAUUAAUACCGCAUACGACCUGAGGGUGAAAGCGGGGGAGCGAAAGGACUUGCGCUCUUGGAGCGGCCGAUGUCGGAUUAGCUAGUUGGUGGGGUAAAGGCUUACCAAGGCGACGAUCCGUAGCUGGUCUGAGAGGACGAGCAGCCACACUGGGACUGAGCCACGGCCCAGACUCCUACGGGAGGCAGCAGUGGGGAAUUUUGGACAAUGGGGGCAACCCUGAUCCAGCCAUGCCGCGUGCGGGAAGAAGGCCUUCGGGUUGUAAAGCCCUUUUGUUGGGGAAGAAAUCCUCUGGGCUAAUACCCCGGGGGGAUGACGGUACCGGAAGAAUAAGCACCGGCUAACUACGUG